UACGGGGGGGGCAAGCGUUGUUCGGAAUUACUGGGCGUAAAGGGCGCGUAGGCGGCCUGCUAAGUCGGAUGUGAAAUCCCUCGGCUCAACCGAGGAACUGCAUCCGAUACUGGCGGGCUUGAAUCCGGGAGAGGGAUGUGGAAUUCCAGGUGUAGCGGUGAAAUGCGUAGAUAUCUGGAGGAACACCGGUGGCGAAGGCGGCAUCCUGGACCGGUAUUGACGCUGAGGCGCGAAAGCUAGGGGAGCAAACAGGG
rnacentral:rRNA from 1 species